UGGGGAAUAUUGCACAAUGGGCGCAAGCCUGAUGCAGCCAUGCCGCGUGUAUGAAGAAGGCCUUCGGGUUGUAAAGUACUUUCAGCGGGGAGGAAGGUGUUGUGGUUAAUAACCUCAGCAAUUGACGUUACCCGCAGAAGAAGCACCGGCUAACUCCGUGCCAGCAGCCGCGGUAAUACGGAGGGUGCAAGCGUUAAUCGGAAUUACUGGGCGUAAAGCGCACGCAGGCGGUCUGUCAAGUCGGAUGUGAAAUCCCCGGGCUCAACCUGGGAACUGCAUCCGAAACUGGCAGGCUUGAGUCUUGUAGAGGGGGGUAGAAUUCCAGGUGUAGCGGUGAAAUGCGUAGAGAUCUGGGGGAAUACCGGUGGCGAAGGCGGCCCCCUGGACAAAGACUGACGCUGAGGUGCGAAAGCGUGGGGAGCAAACA
rnacentral:rRNA from 1 species